UGGGGAAUAUUGCACAAUGGGCGCAAGCCUGAUGCAGCCAUGCCGCGUGUAUGAAGAAGGCCUUCGGGUUGUAAAGUACUUUCAGCGGGGAGGAAGGGAGUAAAGUUAAUACCUUUGCUCAUUGACGUUACCCGCAGAAGAAGCACCGGCUAACUCCGUGCAAGCAGCCGCGGUAAUACGGAGGGUGCAAGCGUUAAUCGGAAUUACUGGGCGUAAAGCGCACGCAGGCGGUUUGUUAAGUCAGAUGUGAAAUCCUCGGGCUCAACCUGGGAACUGCCUCUGAUACUGGCAAGCUUGAGUCUCGUAGAGGGGGGUAGAAUUCCAGGUGUAGCUGUGAAAUGCGUAGAGAUCUGGAGGAAUACCGGUGGCGAAGGCGGCCCCCUGGACGAAGACUGACGCUCAGGUGCGAAAGCGUGGGGAGCAAACAGG
rnacentral:rRNA from 1 species